UUUCCGUAGGUGAACCUGCGGAAGGAUCAUUCAUAAUAAGUGUUUUAUGGCACUUUUUUAAAUCCAUAUCCACCUUGUGUGCAAUGUCAGGGUUGAUUUUUCUCUCGAGAGGAUCAACCCCAAACAUCAACUAUAUCUCAACUCUUUGUCUAAAAAAUAUUAUGGAUAAAACAAUUCAAAAUACAACUUUCAACAACGGAUCUCUUGGCUCUC
rnacentral:misc_RNA from 1 species